rnacentral:rRNA from 1 species
GCAAAUUACCCACUCUCAGCACGAGGAGGUAGUGACGAAAAAUAACGGGACCGUUCUCUAUGAGGCCGGUUAUCGCAAUGGGUACAAUCUAAACCCUUUAACGAGGAUCUAUGAGAGGGCAAGUCUGGUGCCAGCAGCCGCGGUAAUUCCAGCUCUCAAAGUGUAUAUCGUCAUUGCUGCGGUUAAAAAGCUCGUAGUUGGAUCUGCGCCCGAGGACCCGGUCCGCCCACUGGGCGUGAACUGGGCUCCGAGGCUAAUUGUGCUGAUCGUCCCUUCGUUGCCUUCACCGGUUGCGUUGGGUGGUUAGCGAGUUUACUUUGAAAAAAUUAGAGUGCUUCAAACAGGCUAGCGCCUGCAUAUUUGUGCAUGGAAUAAUGGAAUAGGAUCUCGGUUCUAUUUUGUUGGUUUUCAGAGCGGAGAUAAUGGUUAAGAGGGACGGACGGGGGCAUUCGUAUCGCUGCGUGAGAGGUGAAAUUCUUGGACCGUAGCGAGACGCCCGACUGCGAAAGCAUUUGCCAAGAAUGUCUUCAUUAAUCAAGAACGAAAGUCAGAGGUUCGAAGGCGAUCAGAUACCGCCCUAGUUCUGACCGUAAACGAUGCCAACUAGCGAUCCGUCGGCGGUAAUUACGCCUUGACGGGCAGCUCCCCGGAAACGAAAGUCUUCCGGUUCCGGGGGAAGUAUGGUUGCAAAGCUGAAACUUAAAGAAAUUGACGGAAGGGCACCACCAGGAGUGGAGCCUGCGGCUUAAUUUGACUCAACACGGGAAAACUCACCUGGCCAGGACACCGUGAGGACUGACAGAUUGAGAGCUCUUUCUUGAUUCGGUGGUUGGUGGUGCAUGGCCGUUCUUAGUUGGUGGAGUGAUUUGUCUGGUUUAUUCCGAUAACGAGCGAGACUCUAGCCUAUUAAAUAGUUAUCGGAUAAAUGUGUUCGAAAGACUUCUUAGAGGGACAAGCGGUGCUCAGCCGCACGAAAUUGAGCAAUAACAGGUCUGUGAUGCCCUUAGAUGUCCAGGGCUGCACGCGCGCUACACUGGAGAAAUCAGCGUGCCGUAACCAUUGUCGACAGGCAUUGGUAACCAAUUGAAAUUUUUCCGUGAUCGGGAUCGGUAAUUGCAAUUAUUUGCCUUGAACGAGGAAUUCCCAGUAAGUGUGAGUCAU